UACGGGGGGGCAAGCGUUGUUCGGAAUUACUGGGCGUAAAGGGCUCGUAGGCGGCCAACUAAGUCAGACGUGAAAUCCCUCGGCUUAACCGGGGAACUGCGUCUGAUACUGGAUGGCUUGAGUUCGGGAGAGGGAUGCGGAAUUCCAGGUGUAGCGGUGAAAUGCGUAGAUAUCGAGAGGAACACCUGCGGCGAAGGCGGGUUGCUGGGCUGACACUGACGCUGAGGCGCGAAAGCUAGGGGAGCGAACGGG
rnacentral:rRNA from 1 species